GUCCCUGAGAUGGCUAUGGGGCUGCCAAGCCUCGCGAGAAGCCUCCGUUAGGGCCGUGUCAACUGUAGCCAGUGGUUGCGGCUCCCUCAGUCUGGCGUCAUCUAGGUCGCUGCUCAGGGAAAUGCGGAGGCCAGUAGGCUUACGUGUUUACCGCGUAGGGCAAAGCCUUGCCAAAUUCCCGGCCAGCGGAGCGGCGAGGGUGGGGACUCACGGGAAGUUAAACAGCCUCGUCGGCGUCCUCGAGGCUCCAAAACCAGGCUCUAGGCGGGGACGACUGCAGCCGUUAUGGAGGCCACCGCGGCUACGGCCGCGGCUGAGGCCUCCCCAGGUGGAGCGGUGGCCUGGAGGGGAAUCUUGAUCCUGGGCCAGCCACCUGUCAAGAGGAGGCGGAGCGUCAUGCCUCUGGAAGACUGGAUGAAUAUUCUCCAGGAGCCUGACGAAGGCGGCCAUGCUGGAUAAGGAGCUGGCUGCCUCUGUGAACAUCCUACUCAAGGCAUCUUCACUGCUGUACAUCCUUUUGAAAUCCCAGAGAUCUUCAGUCUCCCUGUGGAUUAAGGAGAUGUGCAGUAUUUAAAGUGGCUUCAGGAAGGCAUGGAAGAGGACUGAGUGGGGAAAGCUUUUUGUGCAUGCUGCUGGCUACCUCCAGCGGCUGCCUCCAGCCUCCAUCAGCUGCACUCUGGGGAAGAGGAGGCUGCCUUCUACCUCCCAGCAUCUCUGGAUUUCAUGUUCCUGUCAGCACAGAGGAGCUAAAUGGCCUGUAGAGGCUGAAGGUCUGAGGCUCCUAAAGCUGGAAGAAAAGGCUGGGCCAGUCAGGCCAAGCAAGAACACAGUGUAACUUGUCUCUGAGUGCUUCAUGGUUAAGGGGGCUAAGCAGGCACAAGGGCAUGAGGAUGGUUAUAUGUACAGACUGAGGGGAAGAAGCAGUGAAGAUGAGACUUGCCAUCUUCUUGAGUCAGUAGGCCUGCCUCAGGUGCCUAGGAUGUAAUUGCUCUGCUGCUUCUCAUGGGGAGGAGUGGCCCUCAUGACCUUGUUUACCUGGAAGAGUGUGGGAUGAAUGCCUCCUCCUAUGGGGACUCGCAAGUGCUUUAGCAAAAGGAUAAAUUGCUAAUUGUGGCAUUUCGUGGAUCAGCAGGAUUAUUUCUCCUUGCUAAAGAGGAUUUUGUUGGUCCUGAAUUCUGAGGAGGUGGGACUAGGAAUGGGCUCCAUGAGCCUGUGUAUGACUCAGGGAAUAUUAGGACUUUGGCACAGCCUCAUGGGUUGGGAGUAAGUCUUGGCUCUUCCCUAGCCUGAAUGACAGACAUCAGAUCAUUCUGGUGCUUUGUCCAUGAAGAUGUAGAUUCUGAGCCCACCCAACUAAUCUUUUCACUUGAGCACAGAAACAGCCCCGGGAAUCGGACAGACCCGUGUCUUUCAGGUUUGCUUCACAGAGCCCCAGGGGUUGACAAUAGGUGCCUUGGAGACUGCCUGCAUGGGGAUUUUUAAAAAGCUUUCUUUGUUAAAGGUUUGUAAACCACUCCUCUGAGCCUGUUUUCAUUUUAUAGAUUAUUCAGGGAACUGAACUGCACAGAGAUCCAGAAAGUGGGUAGUGCAGGCUGUAGUGCUGAUAACUACUGUACUACUUGGAUCUUUGUGCUCCCAAAUACCAAAUGGAAGAGGAUCUCUGAGAGUCCUUUGCAAAGAUCUUGUAGGGACUUUAGGCUGGGGCCUUCGGAAAAUUCCAGAGGAUUCCAAUGGAGAUUUUGAGGGACUGACUCAGAAGAACAAAGAGAAUGAUAAUGGUGAUGUCCCUGCUUUUUACAACAGAUCAUGUUCUGAUAUAUAUGCAAAUCUGUGUAAAGUAAACCCUACCUAAAAUGUACUGGGGACCCAAGAUGGACUGCCUGUAUUGCUUCCAGGAUAAAGUCCAAUUUCUAGCUCUGGUUUUUAUAACCUUGCUUCAGCUCACCUUUUCCGUCAUCAUCCCCUCCAUCUCCUCUCCCACGCUGGGAAAUGGAUGGCUGCACUAUACUGUGUGAUGUUAUUGCUAUGUUCAUGCCAUCCCCUCUGCCUGGAAUGCCCUUCUGCAUGAAUGCCUGUGAAAUGUUGUUGCUCCUUUGUAUGGCCUGGCUUCCGUGGUUGGCAGGAAUCUCUUCUUUCGUGGUAUUCCUGUCAUCUUUGUGCAUCACAGUCAGCUUUGUAUUCCUAGCUUGUAAGCUACUUGAGGAUAGGGGCAUGUCUGAAUCUAUUUAAUCUCUUGCACCUGUUUGGCAAAUUGAUGUUUUAAGUAUUUAAAUAACUAAAGCUCUCUCUACAGUACAUACUCACUUUUGAUUUAUGAAUUGGCAAAAUUCAACUUUUUUCCUUGAAUAUUCUUAAAGUGAGAUGAAUUCCAAAGGAGAGUGUUCUGUGUGUGGCCUUCAUUGAGUGGUUUUCUGUUACCAGAAAGCUCUUGGUGGCCUUCCUCUUCCCUGGUGUCAAGGUUGACUGUUAUAGGAAAUGGGAGGGGAGAGGGCCGUUUCUGCCACGCAUUGUCCUAGGUUCUUAACAUUAUUUAAUCCUUAUAAUGCAAUGUUAUCCUCAUUUUACAGAUGAAACCUGAGACCAAAGAACAUGUAACACAUAAAGUACAUUGCAGAGUUAGGAUGUGAACCCAACUCUGAUUCUAAACCUAAUGCUCUCACUCUUUCAUUCAGAGGUUCAGUCAGUUCUUUGUAGGCUGUAGAUCCAGAGAAGCUGCCGUAGCCAACAAUGAAGUUGUUAGUUUUUAAAACAUCUAUGUGGUAAGUUGGUCUGGCACUUAAAAAUGUAUUGUUUCCCAGGCACGGUGGUUCACACCUGUAAUCCCAGCAUUUUGGGAGGCCGAGGCAGGCGGAUCAUUAGGUCAAAAGAUUGAGACCAUCCUGACCAACAUGGUGAAACCCCGUCUCUACUAAAAGUACAAAAAUUAGCUGGGUGUGGUGGCGCAUGCCUCUAGUCCCAGCUACCUGGGAGGCUGAGGCAGGAGAAUUGCUUGAACCCAGGAGGCAGAGGUUGCAGUGAGCCAAGAUCAUGCUACUGCACUACAGCCUGGCAACAAAGCGAGACUCUGUCUAAAAUAUAUAUAUAUAUAUAUAUUGUUUACUACUCACCACAGAUCUGCAGGAGUUCACUGAUCUCUAGGAUCUGCCUUAACUCCAACUUACAUGUUUUGGUCACUAUUACAAACUGUCAUCCCAGAAUGAUGCUGCAGAGGCUAGGGCUAGGACACAGACCAGUGUUUCCAUGUGGGAAUUCCCUCCCAGUAUUUCUUAGGAAAUGUAUGUUUUUUGAAUCCAUAAUCCCUAGAAAAAUCAGUUGAGGAAAUGAGAAGUAUUGUAAUUAUUCUGUGAAUAGUAACACUUACCAUUAUGGAGACAUCACUAGUUUGAAAGAAUCCAACUUCAUCAAAUAUUAACGUACCGAGUUGAAGGCUACAAGAACUGAGACAGGAGCAUAGCAGAGAGAAACGGUCACCAUCUCAUUAGCCCUAUUUUUGGUUGUUGUGAUGCCAUUACAUCUGUAUAUCUGGCCAUAUCAGCUGCUAAUGGUGAGUUCUUGCAAACAAAAUGAUUUGAUAAACAACCUACCAUACUUUAUACAAAUCUUAUGGUGUUCCGAGAAAUAAACUUUGGAAGCAAAAUAAGUUAACAGUCUGGACACGAUUGAUUCUAUAUUCUGUUUACCUUGCUCUAGGCUAUUCAAAUGUUAUAUUUAUUUGAACACUAUCCAAUAUAUGUUCCCUGGC
rnacentral:lncRNA from 1 species